UCCAGAGGGUUCCUUCAGCAGUGAUGUGGAGAGAGGUUUACAAAAGCUGCGAGAGUCUCCCGAGAAAGGGGAAAAAGGAAUCUCUGGGACCCCCCUCCACAGAGAUUCUUUUCUUCUCGCCCUAGCGCAGAAAUAACCUAUCAGCUGCCACCUCCAUCCCGCCAGGAUUCCCUUCCCUGCUGCUCCUUCGCGAACGCAGCAAGACCUCUUCCUUUUGCUCGGCCCUCGAGUCUUUCCACCUCCAGGGAAAAAAAAAAAAUGAAAGAUGCAGUCAGUACUCAAGUGGUCAGUUGGGCCAGUCCCAUUCCUUAGCACAGACUCUGAUGGAGCUAUGGUCCUUCUAGAAACUGAAUCCGGGAGAGCCACCGGCUUGUAGUCACAGACUUUUGUCUUUGGAGCUCAGGAAGCAACCCACCUGGCUUGAAUGCCAGUCCAAACACAGACAGCAGAGGGCGCCCACAGCAUGCUGUUGAGCCUGCACGGGUGCAAGUAGGUGCUGGCGGACCUUCUGGCCCCGGAAAGUUCAGAUUUACCGAAGGGAAUGGCUACCCACAUACCCAUGGCAUCUCUCCUCCUUGGCCCCUCUGUGAUUUUCUCCCAAACUCACGACCUACGUCGCGCUCACAUGUCAUUCUCUGUGUUCCUGAUAAGCAGCCUGGAAGCUGGGAACACGAACUUCGUGGCUAAUUUUGUAGAGAUCUUCCCUCCCACGAUACUUCACUGCCUCCUCCCUCUGAACUUUGAAAUGUUAAACUGUCGAUGCACAGAAGAGAAGACGUUAGCAGGAUUCCGUUGGGAGAGGGAGUCUCUAAGCGGCAGGUUUUGGUAAUGAGGCUACUCACCUCUUUAGUAAGUGAACUAUCUAAAGAUACCUUGAUUUUGGUUUUGGCUGGUGUAGAGGGAAGUCAUUUAAUUAAAUCUAACUGACUCUCCCCACCACCACCACCACCCCAAAGGAACGAAGGGAGUAGGAUGGCCCCAACUCACGCCUCAGAGAAGCCUGUGAGCCACUCAGCCCCUUACUGGUUCAGCCCACACAGAGGAACUGCCCCAGGUUUAUGGUGAUGAUACAGAUCUCAGAAGCUUGCCGAGGCGGACAGACCCCACUGGGAUGAUGCUCAUCAACGGAUUCCAGCUCCUGGGGAUCUGUCAAGUGGCUUUGACCAACUGACCAGUGGAUGAGGAGGCAAGCUGCAGGAGAGGUCCCACUGGAUUCAAAUCCAGAGGAAUAAAGCACACAACAUGCCAAGCAGAGUGACCUGGUUCAUUAAGAACGCUCCAUUGCACGGGGAUUCGAUCCUGGAAAACAACAUGGCCCUGGGCGGACAGUGACCAUCUUUAUGCUUGUGGCUGUGGCCACUGCAUACUCAGCAGCAGUUGGACAACUGCUAGGCUUCCCAGGCCACCUGAAGAGAUGUAAUGUGGGCCUUAGACCAAGUCAACACCAGUCUCAUCAAAGAACGAGGGUUCCUGUUGGACAGGUCAUUAGUAGAGGAAUUUUCAUUCCUCUAUUAUAGGCAAAAAUUCCAACACUUCUGUGGCAUCACUGAUCUCUAAUUACAUAGCUUCUGGGUAACUGUA